AUAGUACUCCCUCCGUCCCAAAAUAAGUGACUUAGAUUUGUAUAGAUUCUUAUACAAAUCCACGUCACUUAUUUUGGGACGGAGGGAGUAAUAU
rfam:Brachypodium distachyon strain Bd21 chromosome 1, whole genome shotgun sequence.